rnacentral:lncRNA from 1 species
UACCGACCCGGCUCUGCGGCCGCCGCAGGGAAAUUGCCUCUGGCAGACAACAGUCCUCCAGUGCCAGCCAGCCUGGUGGGAGAUGGACACCCCACUAUUCCACAGAAGUGAGCCUGCUGCCACUGUCCCCUGCCACUCAGGGGCUAGUUCUCAGCUCUAGUUCACCUUCCUCCGUACUCCCCCUUAGCAGAGGUUGCUCCCUUUCCUUGCCUUUUAGAUAUUGAAUUAAUGCAAUUAAUUCAGGUCCGAUAGGAAAAAGGAACCUCCCUCCUGUUACCCAAAGUCACAAGCUAGCAGCCUCACCAUCCAUAGAAUCCAUCACCUCUCCAGGCUUACAUCCCACCACUGGUUCUCACGCUGCUCCAGGGUCUCUAGGAAGACUUGACCAUUGCUUCUUGUCACCCCCAACGCUUCUUCCUCAACACUUCCUCCCACUGCUCCUUUACCCAGUGCCGGAGCACCUCUGACAAAACACACCUCUCACCUCCAAGAAACACCAAAUGCUCCCCACAACCCAAACCUACAAGCACACAGCAUCCACCUGGUCCAGUUCUUCUGCUGCAGUACAGACCACAGAGAGGAAAAUCUUUGGAUAUGGAACACAGUGAGAGGAAGGAUGGGAAGUAGGGAAACCAAGAAUAAACACAGACUUCCCUCUACCAACUCUGCAGAAUUCAGGGAAAAAUAUUAAUAUAAAAGGCUCUCUAACAGUGUCACUGAGUACGGGAGUACCCUUGGCAUCUAGGCACUGUCAAAAAGCUAAAGGAAUUUGUUGGUCUUUGUCUCCAGCUGAGCUCUGAAUAGUUUUUCACCUUUUUAUUUUUUUAAGUUUUUUACAGUUAAACUUGUGCAAACACUGACUAUUAUGUAGUGAA